UUCUUAUUAAGAGGAGCAGAGGGACUGGCCCAAUGAUGCUUCAGCAACCCCGCCAUGAGCGGAAGGUGCUAAUUCCAGCAGGACUACGUCCUGGGAGAUAAGAG
rnacentral:ncRNA from 2 species